rnacentral:tRNA from 1 species
GCAGUGGAAGUUCACUGGUAGAAUUCUCGCCUGCCACGCGGGAGACCCGGGUCCGAUUCCUGGCCAAUGCA